AAAGGGUGCGUAGGCGGUUUGACAAGUCUUAUGUGAAAUCUCUGGGCUCAACCCAGAGUCUGCAUGGGAAACUGUCGGGCUUGAGUAUGGGAGAGGUGAGUGGAAUUUCCGGUGUAGCGGUGAAAUGCGUAGAUAUCGGAAGGAACACCUGUGGCGAAAGCGGCUCACUGGACCAUAACUGACGCUGAUGCACGAAAGCUAGGGGAGCAAACAGGAUUAGAUACCCUAGU
rnacentral:rRNA from 1 species